rnacentral:rRNA from 1 species
UACGGAGGGUGCGAGCGUUGUCCGGAAUCAUUGGGCGUAAAGGGCGCGUAGGUGGCGGGACAAGCGUGCGGUGAAAGCUCGGGGCUCAACCCCGAGUCGGCCGUGCGAACUGUUUUGCUUGAGCACUGUAGAGGCAGGCGGAAUUCCGGGUGUAGCGGUGGAAUGCGUAGAGAUCCGGAAGAACACCGGUGGCGAAGGCGGCCUGCUGGGCAGUAGCUGACGCUGAGGAGCGAAAGCAUGGGGAGCGAACAGG